rnacentral:rRNA from 1 species
AGAGUUUGAUCMUGGCUCAGAUUGAACGCUGGCGGCAGGCCUAACACAUGCAAGUCGAGCGGGGGUAGCAAUACCCUAGCGGCGAACGGGUGAGGAAUGCUUGGGAAUCUGCCUCGUAGUGGGGGAUAACGUUCCGAAAGGAACGCUAAUACCGCAUACGUCCUACGGGAGAAAGGGGGGGAUCUUCGGACCUCUCGCUAUGAGAUGAGCCCAAGCGGGAUUAGCUAGUUGGUGAGGUAAAGGCUCACCAAGGCUACGAUCCCUAGCUGGUCUGAGAGGAUGAUCAGCCACACUGGAACUGAGACACGGUCCAGACUCCUACGGGAGGCAGCAGUGGGGAAUAUUGGACAAUGGGCGAAAGCCUGAUCCAGCCAUGCCGCGUGUGUGAAGAAGGCCUUCGGGUUGUAAAGCACUUUAAGCGAGGAGGAAGGUUCGUUACUUAAUACGUAACGGAAUUGACGUUACUCGCAGAAUAAGCACCGGCUAACUCUGUGCCAGCAGCCGCGGUAAUACAGAGGGUGCAAGCGUUAAUCGGAAUUACUGGGCGUAAAGCGCGCGUAGGCGGUUGUGUAAGUUGGAGGUGAAAUCCCCGGGCUCAACCUGGGCAUUGCCUUCAAAACUGCACGGCUAGAGUAUGGGAGAGGAAGGUAGAAUUCCAGGUGUAGCGGUGAAAUGCGUAGAGAUCUGGAGGAAUACCGAUGGCGAAGGCAGCCUUCUGGCCUAAUACUGACGCUGAGGUGCGAAAGCAUGGGGAGCAAACAGGAUUAGAUACCCUGGUAGUCC